AUCCCCAACCCUUAGUCACCAUUUAUCCAGGAAAUAUUGACGCACUUGCAAAGUACCAGGCAGGAGGAGGACUUAACCUUGUUUUAAUCACCUGAUACUUGCUAGCUUUUCCUUCUCUAUAUGAAAAAGGUCUUCAGCUUGGAAGGCCAACAUACGGUCAUUAUGUGGGCUGAGUGAAAUUGCAAAUGGUAAGGUGCUUUUACAAACACCGAGCACAGGUCUCUGUCUUCUGGUCCACAGUACCCUGUUUCUCUUCUGUCUUGCUCUGCAGAGAACGCGUUUUCCUUGACAGGUGGAUCAGAGUCAGCAAACAGCCUGGCAUGCUGGGCAGGUGGCAAGAACCAGGGCUCUGCAGUAUCUCAUCCAGUUCUUGGCCAGAUUGUGGCCUCAGUCUAGUCCUGAAUCUUUUCCUCUAAAAAGGGGGGAAUGGUAAUGUGGUUAUGAGGAAGAGUGAAAACAGAGCAGAUCCUAGACAGCAGCUAUCUCCCAUGGGAUUCAGAAACUCCAUUUCUAUUCCCCCUGUUUAAUUAUUUUAUUUUAUGUGUAUGGGUGUUUUGCCUUCAUGUAUAUAUCUGUGCACAACAUGUGUGCCUGCUACCGUUGGAGACCAGAAGAGGGUAUUAGACCCCUGGAGCUGAAGGGACAAACAGGUGCUGGGAAUUUAACUUGGGUCCUCUGCAACAGCAGCAAGUCUUCUUAGUCACUGAGCCAGCUCUCCAGCCCCAGGUAGAGACUUUGUACUGUAAGUCUGUUGAAAGGCUUUCUCGGCCUCAGCAUUGCUUCUCAGAGCCACUAGUGCUGACAGCAGUGGGCCUUCAUCAGAACACAGUUCAGGAAUGGAGUCAUGUGAAGGAAACUGAGUGCUUGGGAGAAAACUUCCAGAAACACAAGAAUCUUGUGACUUCAGUAUCUUCAAAGACACCGAAUUGUUCUUGGAAUGUGCUUUCAUGCCUCCCAGGUAUAGCAGAUAGUAGUGAGUCUACUUCAGAUCAUUCUUUACAACUGACCAUUGUUAUUUGAUUUAUGCCUCUAUGGAAAAAAUAAAAACUCCAUGUUUUGCCUCGU